UUGGCCUUGACAUACUAAGAACUUCCAGAGAUGGAUUGGUGCCUUCGGGAACUUAGAUACAGGUGCUGCAUGGCUGUCGUCAGCUCGUGUCGUGAGAUGUUGGGUUAAGUCCGCAACGAGCGCAACCCUUUUCCUUAUUUGCCAGCGGGUAAUGCCGGGAACUUUAAGGAUACUGCCAGUGACAAACUGGAGGAAGGCGGGGACGACGUCAAGUCAUCAUGGCCCUUACGGCCAGGGCUACACACGUGCUACAAUGGUCGGUACAAAGGGUUGCUACCUCGCGAGAGGAUGCUAAUCUCAAAAAGCCGAUCGUAGUCCGGAUCGCAGUCUGCAACUCGACUGCGUGAAGUCGGAAUCGCUAGUAAUCGCGGAUCAGAAUGCCGCGGUGAAUACGUUCCCGGGCCUUGUACACACCGCCCGUCACACCAUGGGAGUUUGUUGCACCAGAAGUAGGUAGUCUAACCGCAAGGAGGACGCUUACCACGGUGUGGCCGAUGACUGGGGUGAAGUCGUAACAAGGUAAGCGUAGAUGA
rnacentral:rRNA from 1 species